rnacentral:miRNA from 1 species
AGCCAGGCCAGUAGUAUGUGAAGGCCAUGGUGGAGGCCUUGUUCGUGCCCAGGGCCUCACUUGACCCCCUGCAG